AUGCACUGUUUAGAGAUCUACUUCACUGGGACAUUCUCCAGUCAGCUCACUGUUCAUUAUCUAGCUCUUGUCAUAUUCCUUUACUUGAGGACAAGCAAAAGUUUAAGUGUGGGGGAACUUGAUAAGCACAUUUCUUAUAUAGAAUUUUGGGAAGAGAAGAGGAGGGCCAAUGUGCAAAUGUGGCAGAUCAGAGAGGGGAAUGAAAUCCCUAGCGGCACCUCAUUGCAAAUCGGGCCUGGCCACAUCUCCAUCUCUCUCCCCCUCACCACUUCUUCCACCACCGGCCGCCGCCGCGGCCAGGCCGGCGUGGCGGCGCGCCACCCCUCCGCUGCUGCUCCUCUCACCAUGCUGCUUCUCCUCUUGCUGCUGCUGCCCGCCCCCGACCUCCUCCUGCUAUCUCUCUCUACUUCCCCUGCUACCUUUCUUCUCUGA
rnacentral:rRNA from 1 species